GUUGUUGAAUCUUUUCAAGGGAAUGAUCUAGAGAGAAUGUGAACUGAUUGAGUCAAAAGGAAUAUGCAUGUGUCACAACUGUUGCUGCCAUUGCAGGGGGCUACACAAUGAACAAACAGUGAUAUCCGUAAGGUCUAGAGUGGGGCAAGGAGCUGCAGUGAUUAGGACACAUGUUGGGGACAUGCAUUACCAGGCUGAUCCAUUUCACCAGCAUCAGAAAUCAGCCCACGUGUCUGUGCCUUAAUUUUAAUUCUUAUUCAAGUGUAAACCUGUCAGGAACAUUUGGCAUUCUGUCUUAUGUCUGUAAAGGAAAGUGAGGCAGUAUGUUCUUAUAAAAAGCCUUAUUCUGUUCACAGUGUUCUAGCCUAGAUCCACCAGAAAACCCUGUUAUGCAGAGAAACACCUGAGAUCUUUUAUUAUGACCAAAACUGAUUUGACUGGUGAAAUGUUAUCAUUAUUGCCAUUGUGUGGAGAGUCCAUGCUCUACUAUGAGUUAUAGGGAGAGAGUGUAUCCAUCUGGGUCACCAAAAUGUGUCCGGAAUUGGUGGGUUCUUGGUCUCACUGACUUCAAGAAUGAAGCUGCGGACCCUUGCGGUGAGUGUUACGGUUCUUAAAGGUGAUGUGUCCGGAGUUUGUUCCUUCUGAUGUUCGGAGUUUCUUCCUUCUGGUGGGUUCUUGGUCUCGCUGGCUUCAGGAGUGAAGCUGCAGACCUUCGCGGUGAGUGUUACAGGUUAUAAAGGCAGUGCAGACCCAAAGAGUGAGCAGCAGCAAGAUUUAUUGCAAAGAGCGAAAGAACAAAGCUUCCACAGUGUGGAAGGGGACGCGAGUAGGUUGCCACUACUGACACAGGCAGCCUGCUUUUAUUCUCUUAUCUGGCCCCCACCCACAUCCUGCUGAUGGGUCCAUUUUACAGAGCGCCAGUUGUUUUGACAGGCUGCUGAUUGGUGCGUUUACAAUCCCUGAGCUAGACACAAAAGCUCUCCACAUCCCCACUAGAUUAGCUAGAUACAGAGUGCUGAUUGGUGUAUUUACAAACCUUGAACUAGACACAGAGUGCUGACUGGUGUAUUUGCAAUCCCUUAGCUAGACAUAAAGGUUCUCCAAGUCCCCACUAGACUCAGGAGCCCAGCUGGCUUCACCCAGUGGAUACCGCACUGGAGCCGCAGGUGGAGCUGCCUGCCAGUCCCGCGCCAUGCGCCCGCAAUCCUCAGCCCUUGGGCAGUUGAUGGGACCGGGCGCCAUGGAGCAGGGGGCGGCGCUCCUAGGGGAGGCUCGGGGCUGCGCAGGAGCCCACAGCGGGGGGCCAGGCGGGGAGGCUCAGGCAUGGCGGGCUGCAGGUCCUGAGCCCUGCCCUGCCGGGAGGCAGCUAAAGCCCGGUGAGAAAUCGAGCGCAGUGCCGGUGGGCCGCACUGCUGGGGGAUCUGGUGCACCCUCUGCAGCUACUGGCCUGGGUGCUAAGCCCCUCACUGCCCCGGGCCGCUCCGAGUGUGGGGCCCGCCAAGCCCAUGCCCAUCUGGAACUCUAGCUGGCCCAUAAGCGCCGCGCGCAGCCCAGGUUCCUGCCCGCACCUUUCCCUCCACACCUCCCUGCAAGCUGAGGGAGCUGGCUCUGGCCUCAACCAGCCCAGAGAGGGGCCCCCACAGCGCAGUGGCGGGCUGAAGGGCUCCCUGAGCAUGGCCAGAGCGGACGCUGAGGCCGAGGAGGCGCCAAGAGUGAGCGAGGGCUGCGAGGGCUGCCAGCACGCUGUCACCUCUCAAGAGCAUGGUUAAGCAAAAGACCCCGGCCUUUAGGAACUCCUGUUUAUAUGCUGAGUCUGGGUGAUGAAAGACUAAAGCUUCUCCAGUACUCCUAAGACAGCAACAAUUGGGAUGUAUGUUACCUGUGACUCAAGAGAAGAAAGUGUCCCAUCCAUCCCCCCAAAAGGAAAAAAAGUUCCACAACCUUUUGAUGGGAGUUAUUAUAUAUGUGAGAGCUAAGGGUAACUAGAAAUCUUGAGGCAAAUUCUGAGAAAAUUUUCUUCCUUUGCUAUACUCCUCCCUUCACUCUCACUGUACUUUUUACCUAAACAUAAGUAUGCUAUCUGUAUUCCCCAUUUAAUCUUUGAUGUGUAAGUGUUCCAGUCUAAAACCAGAUAGAUUAGUCCCUCUGCUGCUCCUCUGUAAAUUGCAACUUGAGAUGUUAGAGCAAAACAAAUGAAACCUUUUACUGAACACGAACUCCAUGUAUUUAGCCCAUUAGUGCAGGACUGUCCCAGAGACCCAGCCUACCCUAUGUUCUUUGACAGGGCUGUAGAGAGAUGUCAGAAACAUGAAGAGCUCCCUCUCCCUAAGCAAAGGAGUAUCAAAGACUGAGCUCUUCUUACAAGACCGAAUGUGCAGGGCACAUCCGCUGCAGCCUGUGUCACAUCCCCACCCAUCCCAUACUGACAGGUAUGGCAGAAGACCCUUAUCCCAUGGCAUGAGAUAAAUUUCCAUCUUUUUAGCAUACUUGCAGCUACUUGUAUAGUCUAAUAUUAGUGGCAGUAACAGCACAAUAAUAGUGUUACCAAAAGGUAUUUGGAUAGGUUAUCCUGCUUAGAAUACCUUUUUUUAUGGGGAGAAAAAUUAUUAUAAAAGGAAGUGAAUUAUUAGUGUCUUUUAUUUUAGUUCCAGUAGUAAAUAGUUUUAGUUAAUUCUUUGUUUAAUAAAGUUUUUAAAACAGCUUUUUGAGAAAUAAUUUACGUACCAUAAAAUUUGCCCAUUUUAUGGUUGAAUGAGUUUUAUUACUUUUUUAUUUCUUUAAUCUUGUUUCAGACCCUGAUUUUUUAGUUCUUAUUACAUUAUUCAUUUCUUUUUAAAAUCUUUAUUCAGAAGUUGAAUGAGUUUUAGUAGAUUUGUGUAAGUUGUACAGCCAUCACCAAAUUCAGUUGUACAAUACUUCCAUCAUCCCAAAAAGUUCCCUCAUGCCCCUUUUCAGUCGAUCCAUAUUCUCUCCCACCCUAGCCCCAGCCAACCACUUAAAGUCUGCUUUCUGUUGCUAUAGUUUCACCUUUUCUACAAUUUUAAUAUCAGUGGAUUCAUACCUACAUAGUAUGUUGUUUUUGAAAUUCAUCCAUAUUAUAUAUCAGUAGUUCAUUCCUCUUUAAUGCUGAGUAUUAUUUCAUUGUAUGGAUAUACCACAUGUGUUUAUCCAUUUGCCAGUCGACAUACACUUGGGUUAUUGCCAGUUUGGGGCCAUUAUGAAUAGAGCUGCAUUUAUGCAGAAGUCUUGUGUGGACAUGUGUUUUAAUUUCUCUUGGGUAUAUACAUAGGCAUGGAGUUGCCAGGUUAAAUGGUAAGUGUGUCCUUAACAUUGUAAGAAACUUCCAAGAUCUUUUCCAAGCUUAUAUCAUUUUAUAUUCCCAUUAGCAAUGCAUUAGGGUUCCAGUUUCUUCCUGUUCUCGCCAACAUUUAAUAUUGUCAGUCUUUUUAACUUUAGGUAUUCUAGUGGCUGUGUAGUAGUAUCUCAUUAUGGUAUAUUAAUUUGUAUUUCCCUAAUGACCAAUGAUGUUGAACAUAUUUUUUAUAUGUUCUUUGGUCACUCAUAUAUCUUCUUUUAUGAAGAGUCUGUUCACACUUUAAAAUUUUAACCAUGUUUACAAAAAGAUUCACAAAAUUGCCAUCUUAAUAUUGUAACUCAUCAAUAUGAUAUGUCUCUCUAUUUAGGUGUUUCUCAGCCACAUUUUAUAUUUUCAAUGCAUAGCUUGUUAAAUUUAUUCCUAAAUAUUUUAGUUUGUGAUGAUAUUGUGAGUGGAAUUUAAAAGUUUUAUUUUUAGAUUGUUUUUUUUUUUGCUACCACUUAGAAAUAUAUCAUUUUAUAUCACUUUUUGAAUACUGCAGCUUUGCUAAAUUUAACUUGUUAGCUCUCGAUUCCUUAGGAUUUUCUACAUCCAUGAUCAUGUCAUCUGCAAAUACAGUUUUACUCCUUUCCAAUCUAUAUGCCUUUUAUUUCUUUUUCUUGCCUUAUUGCACCUCCAGCAUAAUGUUGAAUAGAAGUGGAGUCAUCCUUGCCUUUUCCUUGAUCUUAGGUAGAAAACAUUGCAUUUCAUCACUAAGUAUGAUUCAGCUAUAGAUUUUUCAUAGCUGCCCCCCACAGGUUGUAGUUGAUUAAUACAUUCUAGGAAAACAUGGGAAAUGUUCAAAUAUGUUCACCAAAAACAGAUGAUUAUUUAACCCAUGGUAGGCUACCACGUAGCCUGUAACUGGUCAACAAAGCUGUGUUCUAAAGAGUUUUGCCAUCCCAUAGACUCAUUUCUGUUUGCAGAUGAAGCAUAUUCCCUGUGUUGAUAGUCAUAUGUCACGCGUGUGUCUAGCUAGAGUGGUGAAAGCCUGCAACCUGAGCUUAGCCCUCUUAUUUUUAAACCAGUAUCAUAAGAGACACCCAGAUAGCUGUCCUGGGCUAUACUCACUUGAGGUGAUGAAAGCAAGCCACAGUGAGAGAUGUUUAGAAAUGCUUUGUUUGAAUUAAAGGCAUGAAAAUUUGUGUGUAGAUAAUAGAAUCACGUACCACCAGAAUUAGAAGGAGCCUUAGUAAUCAUUUAGUCUCAUCUCUUUUUUUUUUUUUUAAAUAAAUGAGAAAACCAAGAUCGAAAAGGUAGUCCCUCACCUCAGAUCACACCUGUGUGCUAAAUAGUGGUAUUCCAUGUAGCCCCUGAACUAAACUUCAAGGCCUGCUGAAGAGUUUCUGUCCAGGGACCCCUCAUGGCAGUGCCUGCUCCUCCCUUCCUUCAGCUUAGGUUUCAGCCACACUCACUGUACCUCCCUGUCACUUCUUCCUGCCCUGUAGUCUCUAUUGAACCCAGACUAUCUCUUCUGAAGUACCCACAUUUCUUGGUCUUUCUUCCAAAUUCACCAGACUCUCUUAACUUCUUCUUGUUAGUUCAGCCUCUAAAACCUUGCCCAGGACUUGGGACCCUGUGUGGAGCCUUUGCAGCAGAACCACCAAAUAAGGCCAGUUAUGGCAAACACACGCACACGCAUAGUAGUUAGUAUUUAGUCAAAAUAAUCGGAUUUUUAAAAAUGUUUUCUUUCAGAUCAAUAAUAAAUUACAAAGUUUUACUAAAGUUAUGUCCUUUCCAAAGCCUUUAAUGUGUAGUUAAAACUAAUUUAUGUUAAGCACAUUGUAUGCAAAUACCUGCUACUAGGUACUCUUAGUCACCCUAAUAGAUUCUUCCUGUGAUUCCCCUCUUUUAAAAUUUUUAUUUCCAUAGGCUAUUGGGGAACAGAUGUUGUUUGUUUACAUGAUUAAAUUCUUUAGUGGUAAUUUGUGAGAUUCUGGUGCACCCAUCACCCAAGAAGUAUACACUGCAUCUUAUUUGUAGUGUUUUAUCCCUCACCCCCUUCCCACCCUUUCCCCCUGAGUCUCCAAAGUCGUUGUGUCAUUCCUAUCCCUUUGCAUCCUCAUAGCUUAGCUCCCUCUUAGGAGUGAGAACAUACAAUGUUUGUUUUUCCAUUCCUGAGUUACUUCACUUAGAAUAAUAGUCUCCAGUGUCAUCCAGGUUGCUGCAAAUGCCAUUAAUUCAUUCCAUUUAUGGCUGAGUAUUACUCCAUCAUGUAUAUAUGUAUAUAUAUACACCACAGUUUCUUUAUGCACUCAUUGAUUGAUGGGCAUUUGGGUUGGUUCUACGUUUUUGCAAUUGCAAAUUGUGCUACCAUAAACAUCCAUGUGCAAGUAUCUUUUUUGUAUAAUGACUUCUUUUCCUCUGGGUAGAUACCCAGUAGUGGGAUUGCCGGAUCAAUGGUAGUUUUACUUUUAGUUUUUUAAGGAACCUCCACACUGUUUUCCAUAGUAGUUGUACCACCAGCAGUGUAAAAGUAUUCCCUGUUUACUGCAUGCACAGCAACAUCUAUUAUGUUUUGAUUUUUUGAUUAUGAUCAUUCUUGCAGGAGUAAGGUAGUAUUGCAUUGUGGUUUUGAUUUGCCCUUCCCUAAUCAUUAAUGAUGUUGAGCAUUUUUUCAUAUGUUUGUUUGCCAUUUGUAUAUCUUCUUUUGAGAAUUUUCUAUUCAUGUUCUUAGCCCACUUUUUGAUGGGAUUUUUUUCUUGUUGAUUUGUUUGAGUUCAUUGUAGAUUCUGGAUAUUAGUCCUUUGUCAGAUGUAUAGAUUGUAAAGAUUUUCUCCCACUCUGUGGGUUGUCUGUUUACUAUGGUGACUGUUCCUUUUGCUGUGCAAAAGCUCUUUAGUUUAAUUAAGUCCCAGCAGUUUAUUUUUGGUUUUAUUGCAUUUGCUUUUGGGUUAUUGGUCAUGAAAUCCUUGCCUAAGCCAAUGUCUAGAAGGGUUUUUCCAAUGUUAUCUUUUAGAAUUUUUAGUUUUAGGUCUUAGAUUUAAGUCUUUAACCCAUCUUGAGUUGAUUUUUGUAUAAGGUGAGAGAUGGGGAUCCAGUUUCAUUCUCCUACAUGUGGCUAGCCAAUUAUCCUAGCACCGUUUGUUGAAAAGGGUGUCCUUUCACCACUUUAUGUUUUUGUUUUGUCAGAGGUCAGUUGACUCUAAGUAUUCGGGUUUAUUUGUAGGUUCUCUGUUGUUUUCCGUUCGUCUGUGUGCCUUUUGUUAUGCCAUUACUAUGCCGUUUUGGUGACUACGGCCUUAUAGUUUAGUUUGAAGUCAGAUAAUGUGAUGCCUCCAGAUUUGUUCUUUUUAUUUAGACUUGCUUUGGAUAUGUGGGCUUUUUUUUUUUUCCAUGUGAAUUUUAGGAUUGUUUUUUCUAGUUCUGUGAAGAAUGUUGGUGGUACUUUGAUGAGAAUUGCACUGAAUUUGUAGAUUGCUUUUGGCAGUAUGGUCAUUUUCACAAUAUUGAUUCUACCCAUCCAUGAGCAUGGGAUGUGUUUCCAUUUGUUUAUGUUGUCUAUGAUUUCUUUCCGCAAUGUUUGUAGUUUUCCUUGUAGAGGUCUUUCAUCUCCUUGGUUAGGUAUAUUCCUAAGUUUUCAUUUUGAUGGUUUUUUUUGUUUGUUUUGUUUUUGCACCUAUUGUAAAAGGGGUUGAGUUCUUUAUUUGAGAGCUACUGAUUUGUGUACAUUAAUUUUGUAUCCAGAAACUUGCCGAUUUAUUUAAUCAGUUCUAGGAGCUUUCUAGAGGAGUCUUUAGAGUUUUCUAGGUGAACGAUCAUAUCAUCCAUCAGCAAACAGUGAGUUUGACUUCCUCCUUAAUGAUUUGGAUGCCCUUUAUUUCUUUCUCUUGUCUGAUUGCUCUGGCUAGGACUUCCAGUACUAUGUUGAAGAGGAGUGGUGACAGUGGGCAUCCUUGUCUAGUUCCAGUUCUCAGAGGGAAUGCUUUCAACUUUUCCCCAUUCAGUAUUUUGUUGGCUGCAGGCUUGUCAUAGAUGGCUUUUAUUAUAUUGAGGUAUAUUCCUUGUAUGCUGAUUUUGGUAAGAGUUUUAAUCAUAAAGUGAUGCUGGAUUUUGUUGAAUGCUUUUUCUGCAUCUACUGAGAUGAUCAUGUGAUUUUUGUUUUCAAUUAUGUUUGUGUGGUAUAUCCCAUUUAUUGACUUGAGUAUGUUAAACCAUCCCUGCAUCCUUGGUAUGAAACCCAUUUGAUCAUGGUGGAUUAUCUUUUUGAUAUGUUGUUGGAUUUGGUUAGCUAGUAUUUUGUUAAGGAUUUUAGCAUAUAUGUUCAUCAGGGAUAUUGGUCUGUAGUUUUCUUUUUUGGUUAUGUUCUUUCCUGGUUUUGGUAUUAGGGUGAUACUGGCUUCAUAGAAUGAUUUGGGGAGGGUUUCCUCUUUAUCUUGUGGAAUAGUGUCAAUAGGAUUAGUACCAACUCUUCUUUGAAUGUCUGGUAGAAUUCUGCUGUGAAUCCGUCUGGUCUUGGACUUUUUUUGUUGAUAUAUUUUUAAUUAGCAUUUCAGUCUUACUGCUUGUUAUUGGUCUGUUCAGGGUAUCUAAUUCUUCCUGAUGUAAGCUAGGAGGGUUGUAUCUUUCCAGGAAUUUAUCCAUCUCGUCUAGGUUUUUCUAGUUUAUGUGCAUAAUGGUGUUCAUAGUAGCCUUGAUUGAUCCUCUGUAUUUCUGUGUUGUCAGUUGUAAUCUCUUCCGUUUCAUUUCUUAUUUAGCUUAUUUGGAUUUUCUCUCUUCUUAGUUAAUCUUGUUAAUGGCCUAUGAAUUUUAUUUAUCUUUUCAAAAAAAACAGCUUUUUGUUUCAUUUAUCUUUUGUGAUUUUUUUGUUUCAUUUAGUUUUACUCUGAUAUUGGUUCUUUUCUUCUUCUGGGUUUGUGAUUCCCCUCUUAAGGAGUACUUCUAAGAAGUGUGGGCCUCAGCCCAGCGCUUUAGAGUCCUUCUUUAGAAGGUAAAAACGCAGUUCUUUAAGUAAUUUUAAUGUACCCCCAAGUUAGACCAUACUGCCUGUACAUUUUAUAGACUCAUUUGUUCAUAGGAAACACCAAGAUAAUUUAGAAACAAAGAGAAUUACUGGAAAUUGCAAAUGAGUAGUACCCACAUCAAUGAGGUUUCAUAUUGGUUCCAGUCACUUCCAUUCUCUCUCACUUAGAGAUUUAUACCUUUUGGGUGUGUAACACAUACCUUCCUCCCACUGUUGUCCCCUUCCUUGCCAGACUCAAAAAAUCUCAGCAGGCAGGAGUACAUGAUGCUCUGUAACUUCCCACAGCCCCUAUUGGAGUAUGUGGCCUGUAGUGGCUGCCCAGUCAGUGGUGACUAAUAAUGUACAAGAAAAAAUGGAAAGUCCAAGAAAUGUGGUGUCCUCAUGAGCCUGCUGCUUAUGAUUAGGGGAAAGCCCUUUUGGAACAGUGUUUGAAAGCAGGCCCAACCACAGCUGAGUGGGAAUAUUUCUGGGCCAGUAGCCAUGUAAAUUCUUGAGGUCCAGGGUACAUGUGCAGCCUCAGGAUUUCCCAGUGGAUUAUUUGGCUGAACGAAAAAGAUCCAGAUAGAGUGUUUCCCCCCCACCAAUUUUUAUUGGUAGAGGAAGAAAAUAAUUCAGACUAGACAUAUAUGCUGUCAGAUAGGGUAGUGUCCUUGCUUGCUUGAAUUAAAAUUAUUUGGUAUGCUUAUGAGUUUAAUUAAAUAACUCAACUUUGGGGAAGGGUGUACUUGCACAAAUAAAACCUGUGUUUGUAUUAGUACUUGGACAUGAAUAAGAUGGGUUCUGUGGGCUGGGUGCGGUGGCUCACACCUGUAAUCCCAACACUUUGAGAGCCAAGGUGGGAGGAUCGCUUGAAGCCAGGAGUUCAAGACCAGCCUGGACAAUGUAGCAAAAACCCGUCUCUACAAAAAAAUAAAAUAAGCCUAGUGUGGUGGCAUAUGCCAUAGUCCUAACUACUCAGAGGCUGAGGGAGAGGAAUUGCUUGAGCCUAGGAAUUUGAGGCUGCAUUGAGCUGUGAUCAUGUCCCUGCACUCCAGCCAGGGUAACAGAGUGAGACCCUGUCUCAUAGAAAACAAAAUACAUGGGUUCUUCGGAGGUCACAGACCUACUGUGUGUAACCGCACUAGUCUCUGAUUCCUGCCUAACAAACUUGCGAUUCCUUGACAUAUAAUCCAAGUAAUUAAGGUAUCUUAGAAGCCAUCCAUCUGGUGCCAGUCCAGACCCCUAAACUGACGCUGCAUAAACCCCAUCAGCAGUUUCCUGGCAGGUAGUCCCACUGUGUACAUCUGCAUGGAGGGAGUGUGGCAUCUCCUGCAUGGAGGAUGUAUGGCAUCUCCUGUUGCUGGGCAACUUAGAUUGACUAGGUGCUUCCUCUACCCAGCUUAAACUGGCCUCCCUCUAGAACACAUACUCAUUCCCCCUCACUCUGCCCUCCGGAGCAGUCUGUCACAAAUCCUCUUCUUCAAGCCUGUUCACAGAUUUGAGCACUGUGAUGUAAGCUUUCCAGCAGCCCAGCUCCCGCAGUAACAAAUUCAUUCUCAGAGACCACAGAACUGAUAUUGGAGCAUGAAGGACAGGGUCAGAAACAGGACUGGACUCAGUGUUUGUCUCCACAGUUUUUCUCAGUGAGGCCCUCACAAAACCUGGUGUCUUUUUUAACAAAACCCUUCAUCUGGUGAUCUCCCCUGAGACAGCUCAACAGUCUUCUCUUCUGUGGAGUCCAUGGUUGGCCUCUGUUUAUGAUAUAUGUCUCAGAGCAUAUUGAAAUUGUCUGUUUACAUGUCUGUCCUUUCUCCAGACCAUGAGCACUUAACGAUAUUCUUCUGCAGUUCUCGGCUCUUACUGCAGUGCCUGGCGUGCGGUGACACAUUAAUAGACACUUGAAUACACUGUGAGAUCCCUGCGUCUUGCAGUUGUGAUCAUCUGGGUGAAGGAAAAAGAGGAAUAGCUUUAUUGAACAGCUAGUAUAUCCUGGGUACCUGUACUUGAGUUAUAUCAUUUGACUCUUAAGAGCAUUGUUGGACAAGGCCGGGCGCGGUGGCUCACGCUUGUAAUCCCAGCACUUUGGGAGGCCGAGGCGGGCGGAUCAUGAGGUCAAGAGAUCAAGACCGUCCUGGCUAACAUGGUGAAACCCUGUCUCUACUAAAAAUACAAAAAAAUUAGCCGGGCGUGGUGGCGGGCGCCUGUAGUCCCAGCUACUCGGGAGGCUGAGGCAGGAGAAUGGCGUGAACCCGGGAGGCAGAGCUUGCAGUGAGCCGAGAUCACGCCACUGCACUCCAGCCUGGGUGACAGAGCAAGACUCUGUCUCAAAAAAAAAAAAAGAGCAUCAUUGGACAAAUGGUACCUCCUUUUUUAUAAAGUUGAAACUGAAACUUUGAAGCUUAGAAAUAUGAAGGUAGCACCUGGGAUUUGAGCCCAGGUCUGUUGAGCUCCCAGAACCCCACCACUUUUUCAUAUCCCCAAGCUGGCCCAUGGGGUCCCCAAAACAGUGAGGAGAGGACUACAGCAGUAACUGUCCAUAUUUUCAACCAUACAGAAUUUAGUCCAUUCCUUAACCACUUCCCCGUUUCAGAGAUGCUUUUUAUUGAAUGGUAAAAAUGUAUGUACCUGACUGUGAGAACCACUUAAGAUGGGGUAAUGAGUCAUCCAGUGCACUGUGUUUUGUUGUGUCCCGAAUGCCACAUCUAGAUAAGAUGCUUCUGGAAAACCGGGUCCACAGCAUGGUCACCUUUUGGUCUCCCGCUGUACCUGGGUAAUAUGAGACACAGUGGCAUUUAAUUCUGUUGACAUGCACAUUCCGUUCUCCUGAGUGCUAAUUCAUAUCCUCAUAUUCCUUGAAAAGUUACCUCCUCCAAGAUCCCUUAUUGCAGUUGACUUCCCCUUGGUGCUCCCGAUUUAUUACACAUCGGUGAAUUAUAUUGAUUUUAUUUGCAGUUGAUUUCUUGCUUUGCUCUUUGUGACCUUCAGCUAUUUUUCUCUGCAUGUGUCUCCAGCUAUCUUAAAAGGCAGGAACUAGUGACUUCUUUUUUUUCCUUCUCCUCCACUCAGCCCCUAGAAUAGAGCUCUGUAAACAGUGCACAGGUGACCAAUAAAUACUUUUGACUCCUUGAGCUUGAUAGCUUCUUUCCCUUGCUGGACUGACAGCCUAACACUGGAGCCUGAAUCCUUUAUUUAUUAGAUGAGAUUUCUAUAGCACCUUUACUCUGAGAAGAUCAGUAUCAAUGAAGUUUGUUUCUGCUUCUGGAAAGUGCUUUUUACCUAAGCAGACCAAAGUCCUGAUAAGACCACAUGACAGCCCUUACUCCUCAGCUGCUGGGGCCUGGAGACGCAGACUAAGAAAAGCCUCACCACUUCACAUUUUGCUGUCUUGUUGCCAGCCACGAGCCUGAAUAAGAUUCUGUGCCAGCAUAAACUCUAAUGUUGGUGGAUACUGUAGUCAGUGUUACAAAAAGAGCAUUUGCAUUUGGAGAGCAUUGCCAUCUUUUGGAAGGGAGACAUGGAGAAGACUGCCUUAGAGGUCAGUAUAUCUGCCAAUAACCAGAUCCCUGUGAAUGGAGCUUUCAUGGGUUGUUGGCUUUCACCUAGUGCCUGAUGUCAGGGGGCACUAGAACUGUUCAGUCUCUCGAAGUCGUGUUGCUUAGUGAGCUAAGGUUACUGGGACAGGACCCAUGAGGGGCGUGACAGGUGAUACAUUCCCAGAGACUCAAAAGGAACAAGCCCUGGAUAAGUUGGGAAUAAGCGCUGAGAGGUGACACUCUUAACUGUUGGGAAAAGGGGCUAGCACACUUCAGAUCUGGAUAGUUGAGACUGACCAUGAAAUACUACAGCAAAGUUCAGAGGCAAAAAAACUGAAAAAGGUGGAUGUGUUAGCCCUAUAGUUCAUUGGAGAAGUGCCUAAAAUAAUUGGAUUAACUGGCUUCUCUAAGAAAUUUCUCACCUUUCUACAUCUCCGUGUUUUGUGCAGGCAUCCCCAUCCAUAAUUCAGGGUUAGACAGAGCUCAGUUAAGAAAUGAACACGUGAGGCCGGCCGUGGUGGCUCACGCCUGUAAUCCCAGCACUUUGGGAGGCCAAGGCGGGUGGAUCACCUGAGGUCAGGAGUUCGAGACAAACCUGACCAAUAUGGUGAAACCCUGUCUCUACUAAAAAUACAAAAAUUAGCCAGGUGUGGUGGCGUGCGCCUGUAAUCCCAGCUACUCAGGAGGCUGAGGCAGGAGAAUCGCUGGAAUCUGGGAGUUGGAGGUUGCAGUGAGCCGAGAUCGCGCCACUGCAUUCCAGCCUGGGCAACAGAGCAAGACUCCAUCUCAAUUAAAAAAAAAACAAACAAAAAAAACACGUUUCCGGUGAGCUGUGUAGACAGAUGAGAGGUACACACGUAAGAGCUGCUUGGUGUGGACACUUACUAGCAUCACCAAGUUUGGCCUGCCCUUGAGCCUGCAGUCCAGAAGGCUCCCUUCUCUGUGGAGCAGGUAUUAAGGCAGUCAUAGCUGUGGAUUUCCUUUUCCUUUUCCUUUUUUGAGAAACAAAAAUGGUCACAAGUAAAAAGAAAUCCAUGUGUUGGAGAGAAAAGAGACACAGUAGAGAAGGACUAGAAAUGUCUGGAAAUGGAGGCGGGGCAAAAAUGGAGGUGUGAUGGUGGGUGUGGGAAGUCCACUGGCAUUGACCUGAGAGAGGUGUUUGGACACAGCUGCCAGUGCCUGAGGAUGCCACCGCUUAUUUCCUCCUGAGAUGUGAAGGAUGUUCCCUUUCUCUGUUGUUGCCUGUGGAAAUGAGAGGCAGAGCCACCUGUACUGUCUAGUGUAUUGCUAUACCCCAGUACAGUGCCUGUGACACAGUCCAAGGAAGAUUACAGGGAAUGUCCCAUGUAGCUUUGGAUACUUCCUUGUUCGUGAUCACAGGCCACACCAACUGGUGCACAUGCUAAAAUGUACAGUGCCUGGGUGGGUGACCGGAAGACAGAUGACUCUGGCCCGUGGGGAGUACUGCCUGACUGCUGUCUUCCAUAGAAGACAGAUCUUUGCAUGAUCCAAGGCAGGCCUGCUUCAUUUACUCUGAUGGCUCCUCCAGAAAAGUACUUUGGGACGGCAAGGGAGCUAGGGAUGAGUGUGUUCCAUGCCGAUACUAGAUUUCUUUGUUAGUAUUAAAUACUUGCUUUUGCUCUAGGCCACAGGGUGGGAGGUGGCAGGCAGUGGCUACCACAGGUGAAGAUGGGUCCUGUGGGUCCAGGAGACAGGCUGGCAGCCACCUGUCUGUGCCUUGAGGACUGUAAGGGUCAUCAGGACACGUGCUGUGCACAGCAGGCCACUGUUCUCCACACACCCAGUGCUGUUCUUUCUUGGACCAUGGCAGCUGUGAGUCAGCGCACCGUGUAGUUUGUGCAUCCUUGUGAUGAAUGCACAGGAUGACAUUUGUUUCCCUGAGCUCUGCACCAUAUGUUCUAGAUUCACCCAGGAAGUGGGGGUUCCAGAUUUACAAACUAAAGGGCUAGGUUUAUGUUAAUACUCUUGCAUCAAUUAAAUUGCUCUUCCCUCAAAUCCAGGAUUAAUUUUCCAUGGAAUCUGGAGUAACUGACCAAAAUACCAGGGUGGAAUAGGAAAUGGAUGUCAGUGGGAAUUGUGUGGUUACAUUCAAUUCUGUGUUGUCUGUACUCCGCUUGUUUGUAAUUAUGAGCAACAGCAAAGCUUCAGUUCCAGGAGAGUAUCCAGUGCUAUCUUGGACAUUUCUGGGUUACCUCUAAGAGUGAGCUCAGCAAGUGUAGGCUCCUAUGAAUAACGGCAAUAGAAAGGCACUGUUAGGAAAGUAAACGUGCUACUGCAAAAAACAGGAUACACCACAAGCCAGACAGCAGUAGUUUUUCAGUUGUGCCCAGUGCACUUGUGUUCACCCAGGUAACUGGAUGAACUGUGUGGUGAUGGUGUUCUCCUGUGAGGGGGAGGGGCACAGUUACUAGCAUUAAAUAUUGCUAGAAGUAAUAUUUUUCUGUUUUUCUAUCUUGUUGCUAGAAGCAAUAUGUUUCUAUUUUUAAUGAGUCAAAUGCUGACUCUAUUUAUUUAUUCAUUCUGUUCAUCUUUAUUGAGUUGUAGAGGAAGAGCAAGGGGUAAAACUGACAAAAGUCCCUGACCUCUUGGUGCUUUUAUUCUUUAGGGGAGAGAUGCAGUAAGCAAGGGAACAGAUAAACAAGAAGUUCCCUCCAACUGCUGGGAGGGGGACGGCUUGGAGGGCAGCAAAGGCAGAAGCAGGCAACACGCCUGAGCUCUAGCAGCCUGGUGGAGCCAUCGGCCUCACCGCAUUCCAGCCCUGCUGGCUGCCUUUCUCUUCCAUCAGUAUGCUGAGCUUAUUCCUGCCACAGGACAUUUGCAUGAGAAGAGGUGCAGAGCCGAUUCAGGACAUCAUUUAGAUCUAACUAGACCUCUAAUAAAGUCAGUGUGAGGAGUAAGGAAAAGAGAGGAAUCAAGAAUUGAGCCCACAGUUUGACUUGAACAGCAGCUGGGUGGAUAUAUUGCCACUCACACUGAGGCAGAGAAGAUGAGGAGAUAAACUAACAGAGGUCAAGAAGAUGAAGAGUUGUUUCAAACAUGGUACAGUUGAGAUUCCUAGCAUUAUUCUAGUCAGACGUGUUUGUCAAGUAGGCCAUUGGAUAUCGGGAUUUGGAUUUGAGGGGAAUUCAUAGAUGGAAAUAUAAGUUCAAGAGGCAUCAGCAUGGAUACCCUAUUUGGAUCUGGAUGAAAUUACCUAAAGGAGAAAAUGCAGGAGGACGUGAUGCUGGGUGAUUUUAGAGGAGAAACCAUGAAGGAUUCCAAGGAGCAGCAGUUGGUCAGGUGGGAAGAAAGGAGUGUGACAUCACAGAAGAUGAAAAAUAAAAGUAUUUUAAGAAACAGAAAAGUGGACAAAUGCUGUAGAGGUUGAGGUGAGGAUAUUGGAUUUCGCCCCUUGAAUACCUGAUUGGCCUUUGCUUGCUCCCUAGGGUUCAGAGAACACAGUCUUUCUAUACCUAACCUAUCAUUCAUUUACCUGACCAAAAUAUUUUGAGUGAACCAAGCAGUAUUUUAGGGAUAGAGGAUAUGUGAUAAAUUACAGAAGCAUGGUGCUUGAUUUUAUGAAAUCUAGCCAAGGAGACAAAUUAAAUGAACAAAUUCCACAAAUGACGCUAAAUUAAAAUUGUGACUAGUGAUUGAAGGAAAAGUUCAAGAUGCCUUGAAAGCAUCCAACUGGGCCCUAACCUAGUCUGAGGGUCCAGGAAGAUCUUCCUGAGGAAGUCAUUGAAGCUAAGGCCUGAGUAAGCAAGAAUUUCCUUUGGAAGUCAGUGUGUCUGGGACAUAGAAUGCAAGGGAGUAAAUGGCACAAGGGGAAGCGGCAGCCAGGGUUGAGAUCGUGCUUCAGUGGGGAAAUUUUUAUUGUAAUCAGUGGAGCACGGUAAUCACAGACAGGGCUGGAUCUCAUCAUCUCAUCAUGUUGGCUGCCCUGAGGAAGGUGGCUUUGAUGUGGGGCGACCACCUAAAGGAAGCUGUUGCAGUAGCCUCGGAAAAAAGUUACUGGUCUCUUUGACUAGGUGGUGGCUUAUGACGCUGGCUGCUCUGAGGAAGGUGGAUUUGAUAUGGGGCGACCACCUAAAGGAGGCUAUUGCAGUAGCCCUGGAAAAAAAGAUUCUGGCGGCUUUGACUAGGUGGUGGCAGUAGAGAUGGCAAGAAGUGAAUGGAUUUGAUUUUUGGAAAUCGUAUCCACAAGACUCGGUAAUUGAAUGUGAAGAGUAAGUAAGGUAUCAGUGAUGACUCCAGGUUUGUGUCAUGAGCCACUGGCUGCAUGGUGGCCCUAUUCUCUUAGAAUGGGAGACAUUGAAGAAGAAGCAGAUUUGUGAGGAAGUAGCAAGUGUCCUAUGUUAGACAUCUCAAGUCUGAAAUACCUGAGAUGCCAAGUAGAUAAUUGAAUACACAGAUAUGGAGCUCCAAAGAGAGGUCUGGGGCAGAGAGAUAAAUUUCAGAAUUGUUAGCAUACAUAGUUAGAAUUUUAACCUUGAAGAAGAGUGUGAAGAGUGUAGGAUUAAGACAAAAAGAAGGUCCAGCACUGAAUAAUGCUAAUAUUUCAAGGAUAGCAGAUGAAGAGCUAUCAGAGAAAGAGAAGGAAAACAAGGUAAGCAGAUGUCACAGAGCCCACAGGAGUAGUCAGCUUUCUAGAGGUUCUAAGUGAUAAUUGAAAAGGGUCAUUAGAUUUAGUGAUUUUCAGGCUCCAUUCGUAGGGUGUUUUGUUUUGUUUUGAGACAGGGUCUUGGUCUUUUGCCCAGGCUAGAGUGCAGUGGCUCAAUAAUGGCUCACUGCAGCCUUGACCUCCUGGUUGCAAGUGAUCCUCCUGCCUCAGCCCCACAAAAUGCUGGGCUUACAGACAUGAGCCACCAUGCCCAGCUGUUCAUGGGGUGUUUUUUUAUACCCAAAUUGUAACCAUUAGGUGAAGUCAUCAUAUCUGAGCCCCCUCUCCUACACCCCCAAGUGAAAUGGAACUGGGCUAUGUGGUUAUUAAUACCUUCCACACAGGAGAUUUGUAGAGUCCUUUAGUGGGCUAUCCAUUCAGUAGGGCUUUCACUAUAGUGUGUAGUCUGACUUCAGAUUUGAACUCAUGUCUGCAGAAAAUAUUUUUCUAUACUGAAUAAGCCUCUUCCCCUUCAGGGCAGGUGUUUUUAAAUAAACUAACUUUAAACAUGGAGAAUCAAGAAGCCAGCUUCUCUGCCCGCCCCCACCCCCACCCACACCACACAGUCUUAUAACAGUGGACAGCAGACAUUGUAGGACUUCUGACCUUGCAGUUCAGAUUUUGUGGAAACGGGGCAAAAGCAUGCUUGUACUUCUAAGCUCCUCGGAAUGACCUUUUUGAGUUAUCGUGGUGAAAACAAGAAGCCCUUAGAGAAACUUCAUUCUUAAAACAAGCACAUAAAACAAGUGCAUGUGAUGCUGGCACAGUUUGGGUGAAAACAUAGAUUGUUUGCAGAAUGUCUACAGCCCAUUCCUUUCUCCUGCUCUUCCUUUCACUACAGCUCCCAGCCUGACAGUCUUGGGGAAAUAGACAUGAGGCUUUUCAACAAACAAUCAGUACGUGACCAAACUUGGCAACACAUGCUCUGCCUCUGUUUGUGACAGAGGCUUGCAGAAUACUCAGCUGUACCUGUAGAGGAGCUCCUCUCUGAUGUCCUUGGAAAGUUUCCGUGUCCCUUUCAUGGUGUCCCUAACCACUGAGUACUUUCCAGGCUGCACUAUAUAGUCUUUGUAUAUUUAAUUCAGAUUUCUCUGAAAUUUGCAUAUCUUCAGAAAUUUUUACUUAGCUUGUCACUUAGCAUGCAUUUAUAGUCUGUAAAGACAGGCUUGUGGAGGGGGAGAGAGGAAACUUGUACAUCAUAUGUUCAGAGGAAGAUUUCCACAUUCGUUCUCUUUUGUCGGCAGUGACUUCUCAAAGGAGAAUGGAACCAGAAUCUAGAUGGGGAGGUAAAAGCAAGUGGGGCAGAAAAAAUGUUGUGUGAAUGGAGGAGGAAGGAACAGACAUGAUGGGGGAAGGGGGUCAGAGUCAUAAUGCCAAGCAUGUCAGCUGCACCGUGUAGGGCAAAAUGGCAAAAGGGAUGACCCCACCCCGAAGAAUCAUCCCAGGACCAACCAGCCUUCCUUGAGCACAUGCCGGGUGCUUCACAGGCACGGUUUUCAUUUAUGCCCGUAACAGCCCCAUCUUAGAGCAGACACAGCGGAGGUUCUUCAAGGUUAAAUGGCCUGAGCCACAUAACUGUCAAAACAGGGCAGCAGGAACCUGAAUUCAGUACUUGGGUCUAAAGCUCACACUCCAUGCUGUAUUAUCCUGAAAGAGAAUGUGUAGUUCAGCUGUUAAGGGACUUGCUGUGGAAGCAGGGUUGAAACUAAGUUACAGGUCUCUCCCUACCCCAGUUUCUCAUCUUCAUACUCCCUGUGAUCCCAGUGUGUUGAUUGAAAGGUCAGUUGGGAAAGAUGGGGAAAAUGUUCCUUUCUUUUCCAGGUGUUUCUCUGGAGAGAGAUGUGUGGCAUUUAUAGUCUGAUGCCCCCUGACCACGUUGCCACUCGGACAUUCUGUGACUUGGAUGAACUGACUCUUGCCUGCAAAGGUGCCUUCAGGGAGGCUAAACAGGCCACAGCUCCCUGGUGAGCCAUGUGUCAGGAGCCUGGCAACUGAGUUACCCCCAUGGGCCCAGGCUGUGUCUUCAGCAGCUCCUGGAUGGAAUGCGUGCCUCCCCUUUUGUCAUCUCUACUUUAACUUUGGAGCUGGUUUUGUAGGAGACUGCUCUGUUUGAGAAGAUAAUCUUUUAAAGGAUUGGGAAAUGCUGAAAGAGAAAGCCAAACAAAUCAGGAGCCUACUGAAAGGAGGAUAAGGUCGUUCCCAAAACAGAAGUUUCGUACCAGCACAGCACUCUUCCCCUGAGAGCCGUGUAGAGGCUGGAGGAGGUGGAGGGGCCCGCCAGCAGUGCAGGUGCCUCCUUAGGGGUUUUUGGACCCUAAAGACUGCCCCAGGUACCAAGUGGUUAAUGCCAUCUGCUUUCAGCUACUGAAAUGAAAUGAUGUUUGAAAGAGCAAGUCAUUUCAUUAUUCUUGUGGCAAAAACUGCCUUGAGCCAUUUUCUCUUAGUUUUUAAAUAUAUGUUCAUCUCCAGAUAAAACAGCCUAGCAUAUGAGCCUGCAGCCAGCCCCCGUCUCCUUGUGGGCUGGGCAUUGAAGGGCUUGCUUGGAGGAGAGUUCUCAUAAGUCACAAUAUCUUUCAUGGUGUGGGCCUCCUAACCUUACCCUACCCGCUGGGUUGCAAAAAUAGGUUUUCCUAUAUGGAGGCAAAAGAGUAAGCGAUGGAAGGUUUGUUCUCUGGCUGUCAGGUAAAGUGAGGGCUGCUUGAGCUGGGUGAUAGAAGGAGACAUUACUGGGACGAAGCCGACAUUCUCCACAGAGGAGAGGAAAGAGGUAAUUAGAGCUUUUGCAAGAAUGGGGCUGUCUGGAGAAACAAUAAUAAAGGACAUCAACAGUGGUGAAUUUUUUUAUACUUUUAAAAUGGCAUGUGUACAAACUGCAUGGGGAGCUUCGUUAGCUGGACUGUGGCACAGUUUUCUUGCCUGCACUGCUGACGGCUCUCUGAGAGCGAUGUGACGGCACAUGCCAAGGGAGGGCUCUCAAUCACCGCUGACUGCACACAGCUGCCUUAUGAGUUCUUUGCACAAGGCUUUUGUAUCUUUGCCUCUAUCAUACUGCUUUUGGUUCUAACAUUUAGCUGGCAUGUAACUGAUAUUUUAAUUUAUUUGGGGGAAAGCAGAUGAUUGCUUCUCUUUUAAAGCUGUCUCGAUAUGAUUUAGUGUUUCUUAUGAAAUUGUUGAGGAGGAGUGUGGGCUUUUCUAAAUUGCAAGUUUUCCUUCUCUUUGAAAAGCAGACAGACUGAUGCCCAGCUUGUUGAUUCACUGUGGCUUUGGUUCCAGUGCCCUGGGCAGCUGACUUCUGUCCAUCCAGUGGUUCUCUUCUCAGCCCAGCAGAGCACUAUGUCAGCCAACUCAGCAAGCUGGGAUCCAGUUCUGUUUAUUGGAGUCUAAUGAUUUUCCCCCUACCAUGCAAAGCCAGGGAUGGAGGAGAAUGCAAAGCAGAUGCCUUCCAUUCCCAAAACACCUGCAGCUGCUUUGCCUGUACCCUGGCCUGAUGAAAUAAAAUGCAUUUAGAUCCUUUAAUAUAAUACAUUUCUGUGCUACAAAUUCUGCCUUGGGCAUUGGGUCACCGGAUGUGGUAUAAUCCAGGGAUUGCUGCUGGUGGGAGUAUAAAUGGCUAAUGCUUUACAACAAGCUUCCUUGUAACCACCUGCUGUUCCCAACGUGUACUUACAUAUGAGCUAUGAGGUCAGUGAGCUGUCCUAAGCUUUAAACAAUUAUUACCUUGCUAGAAAAAUGUGAUAUAUAUAUAUAAUAUAUAUAUAUAUAUAUAUAUAUAUAAUAUAUAAUAUAUAUAUAUAUUUUUUUUUUAAUAAGGUUGCUUGAUCAUUUAAGGAAGAUGGGUCGGGGAUAUUUGUCAUUUAUUUUUGAAAUAGACACUUUAGAUGCCAAGUGGUUCAUGAGUUGAUGUACCACUUGAGAUUAAUGAGUUGAGAUUUGGAGGGUCAACUCAGGAUGCUUUGGGAGGUCUUGGAUAGCUUCUGUCUGCUGGAGCUCAUGUGCAUCCACAGGAAUAGUCUCUGAUUUACCAAAGAACCAGAUCUACCUGCCUGGGCCCCAUCACUGUGCUGCGCCCAGCACAGGCUAGGGGGUGGUGAGCAGGUGCCUCUGCGCAGACAGCAGCGUGCUGCCACCUCGGGCUGCACACCAGCAGAGGCAGAGUGUGUUACAGUACCACAUCCCCAAGGCUCAUCAGUAUUUUUAGGUCCUCCUUCAACUUUUGACAAUUUAAAAUUUAAAUGAGCAAGAAGUGUAAAACAUUUGCAAAUGAGGUAAAAACACCUGAGCAGCUGGAGCUGCAGCCCUCCCUGGGCUGUGGCUUUAAUAAAACAGCCACUUGAGGGAGCUUCCAAGUGAGGGAUCUGCAAGAAAGCAAAUGUUUAAUUUAUUAUAGUCCAAAAGUAUCCAGAGCUGUCCAGUUUUGCCAACUUGAAAUAAUUCUUUUUACUUCAAGAUAAAGCCAAUAUUUAACAUUUCUGUCUGGCACCGAUUGAAUCAAAAUGUCAGGGGCUCAACUUUUGUGACUUUCAGCAUCACCUUCUUUGUCUCCCUCAGGAAAUUCUGUGUAAAAGGGCAGUUCAACACCUGCCCAAUUCUUAGGGAUUGGAGGGAAAUGCUGGCCUGUAGGGUCCAAGGGCCUCAGCCAAGGGUAGAGGCCUCACCUCAGGCAGGAUGUAAGGUGGGCUCCUUCCCUCUGCCCUCCAGCUCCUGCUCCACCCACCUCUCCAGACCCCUUACAGUAGCCAUUCCCUGUGGCCACUGGGGGAAGGGAACCAGCGGACGCUACUUGACUUGGUUCAGCUGCCCUCUGUGCCUAGCCUGCCAGCAUUGUCGAGAGGUAAAGAACACAGAACACACACCCAGCCCGACCUUCUAGGUUGAGUUACACCUUGGAGUGUUCCUUUUGGGCAGUGAUUGAUGUUGAUUUUUGUAUAUAAGUGAGUGAGAUGUUGUUACAAUUUUCACAGCACUUAGAACAAGGUGUUAGAUGUUGUGGCACCUUUGCCUAAUUAUGGCAUUUGUGCAGAUUGUUCUCAGUCAUGUAGGUUUAGUCUCAAAACAUCCACUCCUCCUCCCUGUGUAGACAGAGGUAAGCUGUGGCUGUGGAUGAGAGCAUCUGAAUGAAUUGUAUCCAUUUCAGAUGUUAGCUUUAAAAGCUAUAGGGUCAUGUUAGAAGUUUGGUUCCCGCCAAAUGAGUAAUUUUAGAGAUCUGCACAUCAGAUCUUUAUGGGUCUUGGAAAAAUGCUCCUCCUCAGUUCAAUUUUCUGCCGGGAAUGUGUUUCUAAGGCCCUUUAGGUAUUGGGCAUCUUCAGGUUUAUGUGGCACAUGGGUCAUUAGGGCCAUAGGCCCCAUUUCUGCAUCAGGAGGGCUGAGUCCAGAUGUUCUGGUUUAAUAUUUAUGAGUGGCUUCCAUUGAAAUACCUGUCCUUCCGAGAGAAGUGCCCCUACCCCCUGCCUCUCUAUUCCGGGUGAGUGAGCUGAAAACUGCCUCCUGCUUUUCUCAUUCACAUGGGAUUCUUUCAGAACAGAGUUUUAGAUAGGUCUUGAAUUGUGUUUUUGCCUUUUGCCAUAAUCUUGUGUCUUUGGUAGCAACAGUCAGGGAAGUGAUUGCUCUACCCCCAUCACUGUGCCAAGCCACAGGCUUGGGCGGGGCCCCGGGAUGACAGCCUUCGGUGGUUCAGCCACUGUGGCUGUCUGGACAGGCAUCCUCUUCUUCCAUUCCUGUUCCAUGUGCCCCCUCGCGAUGCUGUCUGCUCACUUGAAGGAGAUCUUCUCAGAUGGAGGGUGUAGCUGGUGGAGACCCUGGGGAAACCUUCCCCCCAGAUCACAGGGGGUGUCUGGUACUACUUGCUGUGGUUGGGCCUCCUCACUAGUCCUGCUCUCUCUCUUCCCAUGCCCAGGGCAGCCUGUCAGAAGCCAGAAUGGUAGCAGGCAGAGAGAGGCCUCAGUCCAGAGGGCCAUGGAAAGUGGAGUCAUGGAGCACAGUGCCUGCAGAGCUGCUGUUUUUCCCUCCCUUUGAAAUCGAGGGCUCAUCCUAAAUUGCUCUUCAGUGCCAACAAGCAAAGGGACGCCCACACAAGUUCUUCAGCAUUUUGUACAGAUUUACUGAACGCAACUCAGGCAUCCUUAAGGAAGCUCUGCAGCUUCCUCCUGGACCAGUAUUUCAUGAAAAUCCAGUAAUCUUGGGCUCUAAGGAGCAGGGUAGCCAGUCAUGUGACUUGGCAGGGGAAAGGGCUAAGGUUAAACCACAUUUAGCAGGCAGAUUACAUUUUCAGCCACUUUGCCAUGACUCUUCCUCUCUCUUUUUGGGGGGUGAGCAUCCUUUUAACCAUAUUCCCCUAUCCCUUAUCCUCCUUUAUCCCUUCAAAGCACCAAAUGAUAUAUAGCUGUAGUAAGCAAAAAUCUGUUGAAAUGUUUUUAAAAUUACAUGCUGCUGAACGAUAGGGCCAUAAGGAAAGUGUAGAUAUGGGAAUGUAUGUAUGUGAAUGAGUCAGUGAAUUUGAUUUUUUUUAUUUGUACAAAUGUAUGGGGUACAUGAGAAAUUCUGUUACAUGUAUAUAAUGCAUGUGAUCAGGUCAGGGUUAGGGUGUCUGUCACCCGAGUGCAGUACAUUUUUGCUAAGUAUAGUCAUCCUACUCCACUAUCUAACAUUGAAUUUAUUCCUUCUAUCUUACUAUGUGUUUAUACCCUUUAAUCCACUUCUCUUCAUCCUCCUCCCUCUCCACAUUCACCCUCCCAGUCUCUCUCUUUUCACUCUCUACCUCCAUGUGUUUAAAUUAUUUAGCUCCUGAAUAUAAGUGAGAACAUGGGAUAUUUGCCUUUGUGUGCCUGGUGUAUUUCACUUAAGAUAAUGACUUCCAGCUCCAUCCAUGUUGCUGCAACUGACAUGAUUUCAUUCUUUUUGACUGAAGAGUAUUCCUUUGUGUAUAUAUACUACAUUUUAUUUAUCCAUUCAUCCCUUGAUGGACACUGAGGUUGAUUUCAUAUCUUUGCUUUUGUGAAUAGUGCCACAAUAAACAUGCGAAUGCAGGCA